rnacentral:rRNA from 1 species
UCAUUUUCCCACCGGAGCUUGCUCCACCGGGAAAAGAGGAGUGGCGAACGGGUGAGUAACACGUGGGUAACCUGCCCAUCAGAAGGGGAUAACACUUGGAAACAGGUGCUAAUACCGUAUAACAAUCGAAACCGCAUGGUUUCGUUUUGAAAGGCGCUUUACGGUGCCGCUGAUGGAUGGACCCGCGGUGCAUUAGCUAGUUGGUGAGGUAACGGCUCACCAAGGCCACGAUGCAUAGCCGACCUGAGAGGGUGAUCGGCCACAUUGGGACUGAGACACGGCCCAAACUCCUACGGGAGGCAGCAGUAGGGAAUCUUCGGCAAUGGACGAAAGUCUGACCGAGCAACGCCGCGUGAGUGAAGAAGGUUUUCGGAUCGUAAAACUCUGUUGUUAGAGAAGAACAAGGGUGAGAGUAACUGUUCACCCCUUGACGGUAUCUAACCAGAAAGCCACGGCUAACUACGUGCCAGCAGCCGCGGUAAUACGUAGGUGGCAAGCGUUGUCCGGAUUUAUUGGGCGUAAAGCGAGCGCAGGCGGUUUCUUAAGUCUGAUGUGAAAGCCCCCGGCUCAACCGGGGAGGGUCAUUGGAAACUGGGAGACUUGAGUGCAGAAGAGGAGAGUGGAAUUCCAUGUGUAGCGGUGAAAUGCGUAGAUAUAUGGAGGAACACCAGUGGCGAAGGCGGCUCUCUGGUCUGUAACUGACGCUGAGCUCGAAAGCGUGGGGAGCAAACAGGAUUAGAUACCCUGGUAGUCCACGCCGUAAACGAUGAGUGCUAAGUGUUGGAGGGUUUCCGCCCUUCAGUGCUGCAGCUAACGCAUUAAGCACUCCGCCUGGGGGAGUACGACCGCAAGGGUUGAAACUCAAAGGAAUUGACGGGGGGGCCCGCACAAGCCGG